rnacentral:lncRNA from 1 species
CCCUAGUUCUGCUGGAGUGGAGCUGAGAGAGGCUCUUGGGAGCUGCCUGCGUGGGCAGAGUUUGAAGGCUUAGGAUAUCUCCUGAAGGCCGGAUGGGCCAGUAGAGAUUAACGAGGCUUGAGCUGUCUUGAAAGAUGGCUGCCCUGAGAACUGGCUAGAAGAGGAGACCAAGGAGGCUGUGUGGGUCACCCUUGCAUUGGAGAUGAGGGGAGUCGUGAGAGAUCAGUGGGGAGCCCAUUGCCCUGUUGGGGAACUGCCUGGUGGAGCUUUCCCAGGGAUAUUUUAAAGAACCUACAUGGGAGAAAGCCUGCAUUUGGACAUCUUCCAGGCCAUUCAAUAGCCAAAGAGAACCACCAACAGCUUGAAUCAAAAAAAAGGCCCUCAAAAUAGGCUGAAUGAAAAGAGGUGUGAUCGAUGAAAACUGGCCGCUCCUUCUUUGCAACUCCUUCCAUUAGGUGGUGGAGUCUACGUUGCCCUCCCUUUGAUCCAGGCUGGCCACACAAAUUACUUUCACCAACAGAAUGCUGUAGAAGUGAUACUGCAUGACCUCUGAGCCCAGGCCUUAAGGGACUUUGCAGCUUCUGUUCUUGGCCUCUGGCUGCUCUGUGACUACCAUGGAAGGAGUUCCACACUAACCUCCUGUAGGGUAAGAGACACGUGGAGGCAGACUGAGCCUCCCAGCCAUCCCACUGAGGCUCCAGGCGUGCCAGUGAUGUACCUGGCUGAAGCCUGGCCCCCAGUCACCCACUGACGGCAGCUGCAAAGGUGCCCGUGAUGAGACAAGAAGACCAAGGCUCAGGGAGGUUAUGCAAUGAGUCACCAGCAAGGACGUGCCAGAGCUGAGAUGCAAACCAGGUCCUCGAGUUCCUGCUCUUGUGCCCUUUCCAGCACCUCUGCUCUCUCUUGGAAGCUGCCGGGGCGAGGCUCAGGCUGUGGCUGGUCCAUCCUAUGCUGGACCAAGUUGUCCCUAACCCUCCAGGGCUCUCUCACAUCUGGGGAAAGAUCUGUGGGCUUCUGGACAGCAUUUCAUUUGGCUACGUCUUGUGCUUGUGGCACUAUGCGGGGCCUCUGGGGAACUUCUUUUGCUCACCAUAUUUCCUCAUUUCCCGACCUGUCCCCUGCACAGCCAGGUUCCCUUUGAAAUGCCAUCUGGAGCAGCAAUGGCCCCCAGACAGGCCGGCUAAGCAGCAGGGCAGCCACUCCCCAGAGCAAGCCUGGUGGCCGAGCCGGUGUGGGCAAAACAAGAAGACUCUUUCUGCUUCUGAAUGAUCUGGCCCUGCUGCCAUGGGGUCCUUUAUAAACUCUCUCCUGAGUUAUUCUCUA